rnacentral:rRNA from 1 species
CGGCGGACGGGUGAGUAACGCGUGGGUAACCUACCCUGUACACACGGAUAACAUACCGAAAGGUAUGCUAAUACGGGAUAAUAUAUUUGAGAGGCAUCUCUUGAAUAUCAAAGGUGAGCCAGUACAGGAUGGACCCGCGUCUGAUUAGCUAGUUGGUAAGGUAACGGCUUACCAAGGCGACGAUCAGUAGCCGACCUGAGAGGGUGAUCGGCCACAUUGGAACUGAGACACGGCCAA